rnacentral:ncRNA from 1 species
GUUCGUUGUUGUCUGAAUUAAUGUGCCAUCAACACAAACCUGACUCAGCGACUGAUAUUUGAAGAUAUAGUCAUAACUUCACGACGAUAAACCAUUUUUAUUAUUCUUAAUUAUUUUUUUCUAUUGUUUUAAACUGGUUGUAUAAUGGUGCAUGGAAUAAUGGAAUAGGACCUCGGUUCUAUUUUGUUGGUUUUCGGAGCGCGAGGUAAUGAUUAAGAGGGACAGACUGGGGCAUUCGUACUGUGCCGUUAGAGGUGAAAUUCUUGGAUCGGCGCAAGACGAACGACUGCGAAAGCAUUUGCCAAGAAUGUUUUCUUUAAUCAAGAGC